GGCGUGGAGGAGGUGGGGGAAAGAGAGCUUGGCGUCCUUUCGUUCUUCAACGUGGGCUCUGAGCGCUUACGGACUUUCCUGCCAUGUUGGGUACCCGCGUGGGCUCCGUUCUUGGGCGCCUCCUCAGGAGAGCUGCGGCGGCGGACGCUUUCCGCGCCCAGCCAAAUGUGCUUCAGGCUUGUUCAUCUUUUGCUACCGGACCCAGACAGGAAGUUGGCACUUUCUAUGAACUUCGCACUUAUGACAUUAAGCCAGCAAAGAUAAAGGAAUUCCUUGAAUUGGUCAAUAAAUAUAUUAAGAUUCGUAUGGUUCACUCAGAGAUGAUUGGAUUCUGGACAGCUGAAUUUGGGGCAAUGAAUAAGGCGUUUCAUAUUUGGAAAUAUGAUAAUUUUGCGCACAGAGCAGCUGUAAGGAAGGCUGUAAUCAAUGAUAAAGAAUGGCAGGAAAAAUUGGCUACAAUUCUUCCACUUCUGAAUAAACAGCAUAUGGAAAUUGCUUACUUGGUCCCUUGGUGUGAUUUGGGGAUCCCACCAAAAGAGGGAGUUUAUGAGUUGGUGACUUAUCAGUUGAAACCAGGUGGGCCAGCUUUAUGGGGAAAGUCAUUCAAAGCAGUUAUUGAUGCACAUGUUAGUAAAGGCUAUGCAAAACUGAUUGGCAUUUUCCACACAGAAUAUGGAUUUCUUAAUACAGUUCAUGUGCUUUGGUGGUUUGAGAAUCCAGAUAUCCGGGCAGCUGGAAGGCAUAUGGCCCAUGAAGAUGCCAGAGUUGUAGCAGCUGUUCGGGAGAAUGUUCAGUACUUGGAAACCCAGCAAAACCUGCUUCUGAUUCCUACAUUGUUUUCACCUUUGAAGUAAUUUUAUUCCAGUUGAAGGACAGCACAUAAAAAUUUUAUUUUCUGCGCUCCAAUCCUUAUUUGCAGUUUUUAUCUGUAGAUGCAGAUUGAGUAGCUUUGAAUAAUAGUCAUUAUUUGUGGAAACUCAAGUUAUACAUCUCAAAUAAAUGCUCUUCUAAUCAUCUGCAUAAAAAUAGAUUCAAACUGCAUGAGUAAAUAAUGACAGUACAGAAUAUCAAUAUUUAAAUAUUUAGAGCUGAGAAUGAAAAAAUGUGAUAGGUUUGAAUUAAUAAUUGCAUUCUGGUGUUACCCUCAUAUAUUUUUAAAUGUCUUAAUUUACAAAUACAACUAAAAACAAACAAAUGAUAAAACAUUAUAACCUAAAACUGCUCAGACUUGUAAAAUGAGUACUAAAAAGUUGACGUCACAAUAUAUUAUUUAAUCAGGGAAUUCUCAUUAUUAAUGUAUAGGUUGUAGAGAAUGAAGCUGAAAUUUAUUUAUUGAUAUUUGUUGCUGGAUCUGAACUUUAUAUGGUAUUCAUUAUUGCAUUAUGAUGAUUGAGAUUGUUAAAUGCAAAAUUAAAUAGUUUUUCUGAAUUGUGUGUAUGCAAUUCUGUCAUUUCCUCUCUUGCCCCUUGGCAGUGACAUUAAUUUUGUUUGUGCUAUGUAUCUCUGCAGGCUUCUUGAAAUUAAGCUGCAGAUUGCAGGAUCCAUAUCCCAUCUUUAAAAUCUAAGGCUUCAUCUUUUGGCACAGGGCCCCAACAAGCUGAUGGCACAUUCUAUGAGUUUCGUACUUACACAAUUAAGCCAAACAAGA